rnacentral:piRNA from 1 species
UAACAUUCUUACCCUUUGAAUUGCUGGGAGC